rnacentral:rRNA from 1 species
GCUUACCGGAUAAAAGCUACCCCGGGGAUAACAGGCUAGUCAGGUCCAAGAGUUCACAUCGACGACCUGGCUCGGCACCUCGAUGUCGGCUCAUCGCAUCCUGGGGCUGGAUAAGGUCCCAAGGGUUGGGCUGUUCGCCCAUUAAAGCGGUACGCGAGCUGGGUUCAGACCGUCGUGAGACAGGUCGGUCUCUAUCCGCUGUGGGCGUAAGGGAUUUGAGAGGAGCUGCCCCUAGUACGAGAGGACCGGGGUGGACGGACCGCUGGUGUGCCAGUUGUUCCGCCAGGAGCAUCGCUGGGUAGCUACGUCCGGCAGAGAUAACCGCUGAAAGCAUCUAAGCGGGAAACUCGCUCCAAGAUUAGAUCCCUCGUCACGUAAAGUGAGUAAGACCGCAGGAAGACUACCUGCUAGAUAGGCUGCAAGUGUAAGCACAGCAAUGUGUUCAGCUAAGCAGUACUAAUGGUCGAGGGCUUAACUUUG